rnacentral:rRNA from 1 species
UACGUAGGGGGCAAGCGUUGUCCGGAUUUAUUGGGCGUAAAGAGCGUGUAGGCGGCCAGGUAGGUCUGCUGUGAAAACUCGAGGCUUAACCUCGAGCUGUCGGCGGAAACCAUCUGGCUAGAGUCCGGAAGAGGAGAAUGGAAUUCCCGGUGUAGCGGUGAAAUGCGCAGAUAUCUGCAGGAACACCCGUGGCGAAAGCGGCGCGCUGGACCACUACUGACGCUGAGGAACGAAAGCUAGGGGAGCAAACAGG